GAGCCUGAUUUCUUUAUAAAGGUGAAAACUGUCUUUGGCUAUAAUACACAACAGUCAGAUGUGCUGUUGUAAGCAUCCUAGUUCAGGGAAGAAGCUGUAGCUCUUCUUCUAAAAAAAUAUACUGUAUUGGCACAGCUCAUACUAUGUAUUAUAAGGUGAGGUAUUGAGCCAGGGAAAUUAAUGAUCUGACAGAAUUAUUGCCUAGAAACACUGCACAAGCAGCAUGUUUCUCAAAUGGAAAUACUCACCAACAUUUUGUAUAGUUCUGUUCAGAUUCUUCCCUACUUAUAAAAUGUUCUUUAUUUCUCUGUGAGAGCACAGGUGAAUGCUGGAACAUCUCAACCAUCAAGAAGUUUUCUAGGCCAGGAUCUUACUUGUGGCUGUGUCUAUGUUGGAAGUUUCUGGCUGUCCCCAAAGAUUUUUGAAGAUGAGGAAGAACAAAACCCCCUUCAUUUUGAAUAUGUGACUCUUACUUGUGUUACAACAGUGCACGGUUGCUUUUAGUACUGGACAGUGAUGCAACCCUCCUAGUGAAUCUGCAGACUGGAGUUAUUCCCUGCAUAAUGAAAUAUCAAAGACAACAUCCUGAAAAAAAUUAUGUUGGCCUUGUAAUGGUUACCCUACACUCCAUCAUUACAGUAAUUCUGCCUGCUGCAUGUGCAAGUACCUUCCUGCAGAAUUUUUGGUUCCUUUUUGCACGGUAGAACUUGACCCAUUUAUGAAAAGAACUCUAUGUUUGUGCUGCCUGUGACUGAAUAUGGUGGUUCAGGAGUUUUCUUCCACUUCUGCAUUCCCUGACUUCCACCUUAGGUGUGCUUUGAGCCUACUUGGUGCAACAGAGAGCCCCAAACAGGCUCAGAUGCAUUAAGCAUUAAUUUUGUUUCUUUUGUUCAUGCCUCUUUUUGAUGUAUUUCAUCUGCUAUGAACAGCAAGUGUGAAUCACAUUGAAAUAAUGAAAUGUCAAUACACAAACAAUACCAUUUCUCAGGGACAAUGUAAAGGGCAGGAAUAUAAACUUAAGUCUCCAAGGCAAUAAAUGCUCCUAAAUUAGUCUUGAAAAAAUGUAU
rnacentral:lncRNA from 1 species